rnacentral:lncRNA from 7 species
UUCUUUAGAGCUUGCUGUUGGUUGGACUUCUCAGCUUGUUGCCCAUCCUUCCCAACACCAGAUGUUAGGAAACAUGUGACAGCAGCAUGGUUUGGACUGAAUGUAGCAGCAUGGCUCAAUCAGUCAAUAAGGAAAGGAAGAACAAACACUCAUCAAAUUCAAUGUUGAUAUGGAUAUCUUUACUUGAAAUGGUGGUGAUGCUGCUGGAAUCUGCUGAGAAGCAUCACCUUGAGACUGACUCCUCCACACCUGUGGAGUGUCAGGGCCAACCAUUGCCCAUGCUGGUGAGCUUUGGGGAGGAGCAGGUCAGACAGAGCCACAGCACUCUAUUACAGAAGCCUCGUGACCAAGACAGAUGCCAGUAGCUGGAAACUUGGCAAACUAAAUAAAAAAGAAAAAAAGUGGAACUCUAUUAGUCUCUCAUGUACUGAUUGCUCCCUCGUGUGACACUUCUAAAUAGCUGAAGGUGUCUCAGCAGAAUGUGAGAGCCCGGUGACUGUGUUCAGUGCUUCAGUGUUUGAUUCAGCCAUUCCCAGCACAGCGGACUGCAGGACUGGAGAUGCCUUAUGGAAAAGGAUUCCCACCUCGUGACCAGCUGCGGUGAUGAAACCCUCCUGGGACACUCAGGGCAGACCGGGAUGCUUUCAGCAAGAAGCAAUGCUCAUCUGUUGUGCUCACGUUUAUAUUCUGUGAUGCCACCGCUGAUUACACUGAAGAUAUUCUGACUGCUGUCAGUGGAGUGAGAGGUGGACUGCGCCUGAAUGCUUGGAAGGACAGUUAAAUGUGAUCUCAAAUCAAAUUCUUAAGGACUUUAUGAGUUCCUUUUAUUUGGGGGCACGUAACUAAAGGAGAUGUUCAGCAUGU